GUCACGAUUAGAAUAAAUGGUAGUUCGCUGAGACUCAUGCUUCCAGAGAUGGAGGUUCGAAUCUUCUCGUAACU
rnacentral:tRNA from 1 species